rnacentral:sRNA from 1 species
GCUGGGCAUGGUGGCACAUGCCUAUAAUCCCAGCAACUUGGGAGGCUGAGGCAGGAGGACCACAGGUUCGAAGCCAGCCUCAGCAACUUAGCAAGAUCCUGUCUUAA